ACGUUUUUAUGUCGCCCUGUAUAGUGACGAGGUCAUUGACAGCAGCUAAUCUAUGAAGGUAAAUAAUAGCUGUUUUGGUUAUUUAUUUGGCGAUUUCAACAAAAUUACUUCAUUUUAUGUCUUCAUUGCUUUUUAACCUGUGUAAAAAUAUAAGAAUAUCUGUAAAAUCUGAAUUAGCAUAAAAAGAUGCUCCUGCCCCGGCUAUCGUUAAAGGCUAACGUUAUGAGAAACGCUUCGCAAAUAGCAUUAACGGUACUUCGAGCUAACAUUUUUUAACUUGUAAUAAUGCUAACAAAGUGAAUCGCUGUCGGUUAACGGUUUUGUUGCUCUGUUUCUACAUUUAGUGAUGAACUCCUCGCCAGAGACGCUCCAUAGCCUUGAAUGGGGAAGCUUUGCCAUUUCUUUCGCUGGAAUCUUCAAUUGAAAACAUCAAGAUCAUUAACCUGUGUCAGCCUGGACAGACUUCUGUUUCAGUUCUGACUGCACCACACUAAUCUCUCUGCUUAUGUGGAUCACUGACUACUAUGUUCUCUGAAGCGGAUGCCCUUCCAGCCUCAACCCAUCUCUGGGAAACAUCCACACACACUCAUUCACUACAGACAAUUUUAGCCUACCCAAUUCACCUGUACCGCAUGUCUUUGGACAGUGGGGGAACCCGGAGCACCUGGAGGAAACCCAUGUAAACACAGGGAGAACAUGCACAGAGACGCCAACUGACCCAGCCAAGGCUCGAACCAGCGACAUUCUUGCUGUGAGGUGAC